AUUGAACGCUGGCGGCAGGCCUAACACAUGCCAGUCGAGCGGAUGAAGGGAGCUUGCUCCUGGAUUCAGCGGCGGACGGGUGAGUAAUGCCUAGGAAUCUGCCUGGUCGUGGGGGAUAACGUCCGGAAACGGGCGCUAAUACCGCAUACGUCCUGAGGGUGAAAGUGGGGGAUCUUCGGACCUCACGCUAUCAGAUGAGCCUAGGUCGGAUUAGCUAGUUGGUGGGGUAAAGGCCUACCAAGGCGACGAUCCGUAACUGGUCUGAGAGGAUGAUCAGUCACACUGGAACUGAGACACGGUCCAGACUCCUACGGGAGGCAGCAGUGGGGAAUAUUGGGCAAUGGGCGAAAGCCUGAUCCAGCCAUGCCGCGUGUGUGAAGAAGGUCUUCGGAUUGUAAAGCACUUUUAGUUGGGAAGAAGGGCAGUAAGUUAAUACCUUGCUGUUUUGACGUUACCAACAGAGUAAGCACCGGCUAACUUCGUG
rnacentral:rRNA from 1 species